CAUAUCAAUAAGCGGAGGAAAAGAAACUAACAAGGAUUCCCCUAGUAACGGCGAGUGAAGAGGGAAAAGCUCAAAUUUUGAAUCUGGUGUCUUUGACUCCCGAGUUGUAAUCUAGAGAAGUGUUUUCCGUGUCGGACCGUGUACAAGUUCCCUGGAACGGGGCGUCAUAGAGGGUGAGAAUCCCGUAUAUGCCACGGACUACCGAUGCUCUGUGAUACACUCUCAACGAGUCGAGUUGUUUGGGAAUGCAGCUCAAAAUGGGUGGUAAAUUCCAUCUAAAGCUAAAUAUUGGCGAGAGACCGAUAGYGAACAAGUACCGUGAGGGAAAGAUGAAAAGCACUUUGGAAAGAGAGUGAAACAGUACGUGAAAUUGUUGAAAGGGAAGCGUUUGAAGUCAGUCGCAUCUGUUGGGAUUCAGCCUGGCUUCUGCCUGGUGUAUUUCCUUUCCGAUGGGUCAGCAUCAGUUUCGACCAAGGGAAAAAGACACUUGGAAUGUGGCUGUCUUCGGGCAGUGUUAUAGCCUUGUGUUGUAUGUCUUGGUUGGGACUGAGGAACGCAGCGCGCCAUUUUGGCCGGGGGUCGCUCCUCUCGACACGCGCUUAGGAUGCUGGCAUAAUGGCUUUAAGCGGCCCGUCUUGAA
rnacentral:rRNA from 1 species